rnacentral:rRNA from 1 species
UACGUAGGGCGCAAGCGUUGUCCGGAAUUAUUGGGCGUAAAGAGCUCGUAGGCGGUCUGUUGCGUCCGCUGUGAAAACUCGGGGCUUAACCCCGAGCCUGCAGUGGAUACGGGCAGACUAGAGGUAGGUAGGGGAGAAUGGAAUUCCCGGUGUAGCGGUGAAAUGCGCAGAUAUCGGGAGGAGCACCGGUGGCGAAGGCGGUUCUCUGGGCCUUACCUGACGCUGAGGAGCGAAAGCGUGGGGAACGAACAGG